AACCGGCUAAUAAGUGGGUUAGCCGAAGGACUGAACGGAGUCAUGACU
rnacentral:sRNA from 12 species